ACUGGAGAGAAAGGCCGGAACCUGGGGAGCGCCCCCAGCCCCAGCCCGCCUCCCUGCGUUACUUUGGCCAAGUUUAGGGCAGAGCUGGUAGCGCAGUUCGGGGGAAAGAGGGAGAAAUCCGAGCUUCCUCGCAGCUGGAAGGCUCUCCGCGCUGCGCCCGCCCUUACGGGUUUCCAGCUCCCCCUCCUCUCCUGCCCUUCUUCUCCCCGGUUCUUCUCUUCCCUUCCGUAUCCUCUUCUGGAAAUGGAAGUCACAAUAGGACCUCUUUCCUUGGGUUGUUGUAAGGCCUGAAAGUGGCAUACCUGCGCAGUGCCUGGUACAUGAAGGAAUGACUUGGGAUGUCCAUGCCUGGGGGCAAAUCUGAUCCCCAACCUCAAGGCAGCCCAGUAGAACUUGGAGUUGUAACAGAAGAGCUGAUGGAGAAGAAUAUGUGGUCUCUGGUCAAAAAGGAUGGAGAUCUAAAGGAAAAUGUGACCUAAAUUCAUAGAGUCGUGAUGGGAAUGGAUCAAAUAUGAAGGUGAUUCAACCAGCGAAAACUGCUUUUGGUUGGUGGGUCAGUUUCACAGAUGAUAAGGGUUUUACUAACUUCCAUUUAAUAACCAUUUCCUUUGAAAACAAA